AUUGAACGCUGGCGGCAUGCCUUACACAUGCAAGUCGAACGGUAACGCGGGGCAACCUGGCGACGAGUGGCGAACGGGUGAGUAAUGUAUCGGAACGUGCCCAGUUGGGGGGGAUAAAUGCUCUAAAGAGCAACUAAUACCGCAUACGACCUGAGGGUGAAAGGGGGGGAUCGCACGACCCCGCGCAUUUGGAUCGGCCGAUAUAUGAGUAGGUAGUUGGUGGGUGAAAGGCUCACCAAGCCAACGAUCGGUAGCUGGUCUGAGAGGACGACCAGCCACACUGGGACUGAGACACGGGCCAGACUCCUACGGGAGGCAGCAGUGGGGAAUUUUGGACAAUGGGCGCAAGCCGGAUCCAGCCAUGCCGCGUGCGGGAAGAAGGCCUUCGGGUUGUAAACCGCUUUUGUCAGGGAAGAAAAGACUCCUGUUAAUACCGGGGGUUCAUGACGGUACCUGAAGAAUAAGCACCGGCUAACUACGUGCCAGCCGCCGCGGUAA
rnacentral:rRNA from 1 species